GACGAACGCUGGCGGCGUGCCUAAUACAUGCAAGUAGGACGCAGUUGCGAACGGGUGAGUAACGCGUAGGUAACUGCCUAUUAGAGGGGGAUAACUAUUGGAAACGAUAGCUAAUACCGCAUACUAGUAGAUGGACCUGCGUUGUAUUAGCUAGUAGGUAGGGUAAUGGCCUACCUAGGCGACGAUACAUAGCCGACCUUAGGUGGGGAUCGGCCAACCUGGGCAUGGGGAACGGCCCAGACUCCUACGGGAGGCAGCAGGAGGGAAUCAUCGGCAAUGGGGGGAAACCUUACCGAGCAACGCCGCGUGAGUGAAGAAGGUUUUCGGAUCGUAAAGCUCUGUUGUUAAGGAAGCGGUACUUAACCAGAAAGGGACGGCUAACUACGUGCCAGCAGCCGCGGUAAUUC
rnacentral:rRNA from 1 species